AAGCAAGGAAUAGAGCUAGAAAGAAAACUCAGGCCCUCCUACUGGUACCUUGGAGCACCCACCCAGACCACACUUCCUCCCUGGUUUUCAAGGGUACAUUAACAUAAGACAAUGGCACUUUCAAAAAGCCACCCGAAAAUAGGGGUGCUUCAACCUGCCUGAUCUACAGAUUUGUCAGAGCAAGAGAUGCUGUCUGGGAUGUUUCCCUUCACCAGCUCCAGUCAGAGAUGACCCCAUUCAGGUAACUCCUGAAUUGUGUGACAACCUGUGAAUGAAGCUGAGACACAGCCAGGCAAGGGGUGAAAACAGCGCUGAACCGGGCUGGACUGCUGCCCCAGCAUCCUACUGUGAAGGCCCUGCGGGUGGAGUGUGUCUCUGCCACCAGCACAGCUCCCUGGUGAGGUUUCUGUACACGUGUGCCUAUGUGAAUCUUUGCCACCUGUGGACAUGCCCAAAGAGUCCAGAAGAAGGCAAUGAACACCCCAGAGCUACAGGGUCCUGUGAACAAGUUUCUGCAGGAGGAGCAGGACCAAGUAAAAUAGGAGCCUGUCAUCUAAAACAAGCUUUGUUGUAUGGAUGGCCUAAGCCUAUGCACUUCCUUGCUGUCCUCAUUCAUGUAAGUUCAGCGAAGCGCUGUGUCUGCCCAGAGACACACACACGCGCGUGCGCACACACACACACCCAUGUACACAAAUAUCUAUAUACACAUAUAUAUUACACACAUAUAUACACUCUAUACGCAUAUACAUGCAUGCAUAUGCACUAUACACAUACACACACACACACUCACAGACACAGGCAUGCACAUACGCUUGUUGGUCAUUACCAAGGCUUUUCUUUCUCUAAUACGCUCAUCUUCUAUUUGAAGGCAUUGUGUGAGGCACCAGUAAGAUAGCUACCAGGGUAAAGGGGCUUAUUGCCAAGCCUGGCAACCUGAGUUCAAUCCUUGAAACCCACAUAGUAGAAGGAGAAAACUGACCCCCCAUAGUUGUCUUCUGACCUAUAGUUCUGAGGCACAUUAGGGUACACACACAUACACACACACAGUAAACAAACAAACAAACAAACUUAU